rnacentral:rRNA from 1 species
UUGGAGGGCAGUCUGGUGCCAGCAGCCGCGGUAAUUCCAGCUCCAAUAGCGUAUAUUAAAGUUGUUGCAGUUAAAAAGCUCGUAGUUGAAUUUCGGAGUUUGUCGGUUGGUCGGGCUUCAUUGUCCGCACUGGCCUGGUGGAUUCCUACCUUCUGAAUAACCAGCAUGCUAUUAAGUUAGUGCGUUGGGGAAGCAGAGCUAUUACCUUGAAAAAAUUAGAGUGCUUAAAGCAGGCUUAUGCUUGAAUAGAUUAGCAUGGAAUAAUAAAAUAGGACGGCAUGGUUCUAUUUUGUUGGUUUCUAGGAUCACCGUAAUGAUUAAUAGGGAUAGUUGGGGGCAUUAGUAUUCAAUUGUCAGAGGUGAAAUUCUUGGAUUUAUUGAAGACUAACUUCUGCGAAAGCAUUUGCCAAGGAUGUUUUCAUUAAUCAAGAACGAAAGUUAGGGGAUCGAAGACGAUCAGAUACCGUCGUAGUCUUAACCAUAAACUAUGCCGACUAGGGAUCGGACGAUGUUAAUUUUUUAAUGACUCGUUCGGCGCCUUACGGGAAAC